AGAGUUUGAUCAUGGCUCAGGAUGAACGCUAGCUACAGGCUUAACACAUGCAAGUCGAGGGGCAGCAUUUUAGUUUGCUUGCAAACUAAAGAUGGCGACCGGCGCACGGGUGAGUAACACGUAUCCAACCUGCCGAUAACUCGGGGAUAGCCUUUCGAAAGAAAGAUUAAUAUCCGAUAGUAUAUUAAAACCGCAUGGUUUUACUAUUAAAGAAUUUCGGUUAUCGAUGGGGAUGCGUUCCAUUAGUUUGUUGGCGGGGUAACGGCCCACCAAGACUACGAUGGAUAGGGGUUCUGAGAGGAAGGUCCCCCACAUUGGAACUGAGACACGGUCCAAACUCCUACGGGAGGCAGCAGUGAGGAAUAUUGGUCAAUGGACGAGAGUCUGAACCAGCCAAGUAGCGUGAAGGAUGACUGCCCUAUGGGUUGUAAACUUCUUUUAUAUGGGAAUAAAGUAUUCCACGUGUGGGAUUUUGUAUGUACCAUAUGAAUAAGGAUCGGCUAACUCCGUGCCAGCAGCCGCGGUAAUACGGAGGAUCCGAGCGUUAUCCGGAUUUAUUGGGUUUAAAGGGAGCGUAGGUGGAUUGUUAAGUCAGUUGUGAAAGUUUGCGGCUCAACCGUAAAAUUGCAGUUGAAACUGGCAGUCUUGAGUACAGUAGAGGUGGGCGGAAUUCGUGGUGUAGCGGUGAAAUGCUUAGAUAUCACGAAGAACUCCGAUUGCGAAGGCAGCUCACUAGACUGCAACUGACACUGAUGCUCGAAAGUGUGGGUAUCAAACAGGAUUAGAUACCCUGGUAGUCCACACAGUAAACGAUGAAUACUCGCUGUUUGCGAUAUACAGUAAGCGGCCAAGCGAAAGCAUUAAGUAUUCCACCUGGGGAGUACGCCGGCAACGGUGAAACUCAAAGGAAUUGACGGGGGCCCGCACAAGCGGAGGAACAUGUGGUUUAAUUCGAUGAUACGCGAGGAACCUUACCCGGGCUUAAAUUGCAUUUGAAUAAUCUGGAAACAGGUUAGCCGCAAGGCAAAUGUGAAGGUGCUGCAUGGUUGUCGUCAGCUCGUGCCGUGAGGUGUCGGCUUAAGUGCCAUAACGAGCGCAACCCUUAUCUUUAGUUACUAACAGGUCAUGCUGAGGACUCUAGAGAGACUGCCGUCGUAAGAUGUGAGGAAGGUGGGGAUGACGUCAAAUCAGCACGGCCCUUACGUCCGGGGCUACACACGUGUUACAAUGGGGGGUACAGAAGGCAGCUACCUGGCGACAGGAUGCUAAUCCCAAAAACCUCUCUCAGUUCGGAUCGAAGUCCGCAACCCGACUUCGUGAAGCUGGAUUCGCUAGUAAUCGCGCAUCAGCCAUGGCGCGGUGAAUACGUUCCCGGGCCUUGUACACACCGCCCGUCAAGCCAUGAAAGCCGGGGGUACCUGAAGUACGUAACCGCAAGGAGCGUCCUAGGGUAAAACUGGUAAUUGGGGCUAAGUCGUAACAAGGUA
rnacentral:rRNA from 1 species